rnacentral:rRNA from 1 species
UGAACGCUGGCGGCGUGCUUAACACAUGCAAGUCGAACGAGGUCCAUGGAGCUUGCUCCGGAAGACCUAGUGGCGAACGGGUGCGUAACACGUGAGAAACCUGCCCCGAUCUCUGGGAUAACAGUUGGAAACGACUGCUAAUACCGGAUGCCGUCACACCGCUUCAUGGCGGAGUGACGAAAGAUUCAUCGGAUCGGGAGGGUCUCGCGGCCUAUCAGCUAGUUGGAGAGGUAACGGCUCACCAAGGCAUCGACGGGUAGCUGGUCUGAGAGGAUGAUCAGCCACACUGGGACUGAGACACGGCCCAGACUCCUACGGGAGGCAGCAGUGGGGAAUCUUGCACAAUGGGCGAAAGCCUGAUGCAGCAACGCCGCGUGCGGGAAGAAGGCCCUAGGGUUGUAAACCGCUUUCAGUAGGGAAGAAAAUGACGGUACCUACAGAAGAAGGUGCGGCCAACUAC